rnacentral:rRNA from 1 species
UAUCCUGUCUGAAUAUGGGGGGACCAUCCUCCAAGGCUAAAUACUCCUGACUGACCGAUAGUGAACCAGUACCGUGAGGGAAAGGCGAAAAGAACCCCGGCGAGGGGAGUGAAAAAGAACCUGAAAUCGUGUACGUACAAGCAGUGGGAGCACAGGUUUACCUGUGUGACUGCGUACCUUUUGUAUAAUGGGUCAGCGACUUAUAUUCUGUAGCAAGGUUAACCGAAUAGGGGAGCCGGAGGGAAACCGAGUCUUAAUUGGGCGUUAAGUUGCAGGGUAUAGACCCGAAACCCGGUGAUCUAGCCAUGGGCAGGUUGAAGGUUGGGUAACACUAACUGGAGGACCGAACCGACUAAUGUUGAAAAAUUAGCGGAUGACCUGUGGCUGGGGGUGAAAGGCCAAUCAAACCGGGAGAUAGCUGGUUCUCCCCGAAAGCUAUUUAGGUAGCGCCUCGUGAAUUCAUCUCCGGGGGUAGAGCACUGUUUCGGCUAGGGGGCCAUCCCGGCUUACCAACCCGAUGCAAACUGCGAAUACCGGAGAAUGUUAUCACGGGAGACACACGGCGGGUGCUAACGUCCGUCGUGAAGAGGGAAACAACCCAGACCGCCAGCUAAGGUCCCAAAGUCAUGGUUAAGUGGGAAACGAUGUGGGAAGGCCCAGACAGCCAGGAUGUUGGCUUAGAAGCAGCCAUCAUUUAAAGAAAGCGUAAUAGCUCACUGGUCGAGUCGGCCUGCGCGGAAGAUGUAACGGGGCUAAACCAUGCACCGAAGCUGCGGCAGCGAACGUAUCACUUAAAGCGAUUCAGCGGGUUACGAUUGACGGAGCGAAGCGACGUCAAAGCGUAUACAAAGUCGAGUCGGUUUA